CUCAUGUGGAGUUUAAGCAGAGAAGCUGGACUAUUGUGGUCUGUUUUGUCUCCGCGGUGAGUGUUUGAGGACUGGGAGCACCCUGCCAUAGUGUGAGCGUGUGUGUGUGUGUGUGUGUGUGCUGAGUGUGUGUCUGGUGAGUUAGAGGACUCGAAACUCUUGAUUGAAACUCAGGUAUUACAGCAGCUGUGACAGAGAAUGAAUGGUUUGAGUUGCCAAAGACAGACAAAGGUUUGCGUCUCUACUUUUCAAGUGAGCGAUGUGAGUUUUACAUUAGGAGAUCUGUUUUCAUGUUAGUGGUAAAACUUCUUCCUGUUUUUUACAAUUGACUCAACAUUUUCAAAAAUGACAUCAGCUCAGACAUGCGCUCUGGUUGGUUGGCUCAGCUUGGGAUACCCGCUCUAAUGCCACUGAUUGGUCCGCAAGCGGGCUAUAGAGAAUGUUGGCAAUUUAUGAACAGAUGGAUUUAUGUUUUCUCUCCUAAUGUUUGAGGUCAUCUAGAGGCGACAGCUCGCUGAUCCAAAAUCAGCGCUGGUGUUCGACUCGCUCGCUGGUGUGAGAAAUCAGAGGGAGACCUGGGAAAGAUGCCAAGAGAUGAAAAAAAAAAGUGACAUUCUGUGAAAUAUCCACCCUCCCCGCUCAUUGAUUCAUUUAGCUGAACUCUGGCAAACCCCUCCCAUUGAGGAGGGCUGACAUUAUCCCAGAUGGAGGGAGUGGACGAAUUGAGAGAAGGAUGGAGAGAGAGCAGGCUGAAUAAAGAUGUCGGAAAAGACAGUAAGUCUCCCCGUACUCCUCUUUCGGGUCGAGAGAACUUGACAACAGUUUUCCAGCAGUUUGGAGUUAGAAUCUCAAAGCUUGUUUGGGUUUUCUUGACGUAUCGUUUGUUAAAAAAAAAAAAAAAAAAAAAGAUGGGGGGGAUGGAACAAAAUGGCAGAAGUGUCAGGAUCUGCUUGUCUCUCUCGCCAUCUGUCUGUUGCUGCAGGACUGUAAUGUUGUGUACAAGGCAAGACGUGUAUUUUGGAUGUUGGAUGAUUAAGGUACAGAUUCUCAGAGUGCGCCCAGCGGCCGUCCCACGGUUCAGUGUCCCGUUUCUGCCUGGGACAGUUUAUGCCUCUUCUCUCUCUUUUUCUUGUCUUUCUGUCUCUCACUGUCUUUCUUAACUCUUUUUCUCUGACUCCUCCUCUUUCUGUUCCCCCUCUCUUGCUACACCAUGUCCCUCCCUUCCUCUUUCUGUGUCUCUACACCUCCCUCCUCCCCUCCUUUUUCUCUCCUUCCCUCUUGGCAGCAGUGCCAAAGUGGGCAGGCGGACCGAGGCAAACACAGCACAGGGCAGAGCAGAGGGCGAUACAAAGGCUGGCGAACUGAUUCUGUGUGUGUUGGUGUUUUGAACUGUCCUGAGUCUGUGCGUUUGUCCUUUUGUCUCCGUUGUGAUCAUACGCAACUGUAAGUGUCUGUGUUACCGUGAGUCCAUUGUGAGUCUGUUUUGGAGCUGAUCUCUUUUUCUUGUCCACAGUGUGUUUGACACUGUGGCUUGUGUGUGUGUGUGUGUGUGUGUGUGUGUGUGUGUGUGAGCAGACGUCCCUCUGUCACCCUGUGUACGGACAGACGCACUAACGCCAGUAGGAGGGGAUUGUGGGAAGGGGGUGUAGCUCUCAGAGGGUGUGCUAUGCUCCUCUCUUUUCCCUUCUUCCCGCCAUCACGGCCCUCUUCUCCUCCAGUCCUCUGGCCCAGCUCGCCGCUCACAUACAGGCUCCAGGACAGCAGGGUCGGACAGGGUGGUAAACCGUCUUUCUGUGGCUUUUCCUACUGAACAGGUGUCUCUUUGUAGACGGGCAGGAGGAAGGACAGGCCUCCUCGGUUACUUGCUGACCUCAGAGCGACUCCCGAGCCAGAGAGCUGUUGUAACGUUCAGGAGUUUUACCUUCGAGGAUCUCAGCUGCUGGAGGAACAAGGAUGCUGUCCUUGGGGCUGAGGUAGUAGAUUGAAUAGUUGUGGGGUUGUGUAACCUUCUUUUGAGAUAACUAUACAAUCUACUGUCUUUCCCAAGGAGACAGCUAAGUCAGCCGCUCGCCGACUGUCAUCUCCAGAUGUGCAAUUACCCUGUCCAAACAAUUGCGGCAUAUAAAAUAAUGCAUCGUGACAGGCAUUGUUUGUUUGUUUGUUUGUUUUAUGCUAGAGCAGGUAAAUUAGGUGUCCUGUUCCCCGACAGUCGACCAUGUGGUGUCCUCGAUUUGGGCUCUGUCAGGGUGAGGUAGUAGGUUGUAUAGUUUGGUGGGUGGGAUUACUCCCUGCUCAGGUGAUAACUAUACAGUCUAUUGCCUUCCCUGAGGAGUUCGCUGAACACUCAUCAAUAUUCAACACACUCUCAUCCCGGCCCAGGUAUCACGUUUAUUCGUCCAUAUGAAAUAAAAAGGAUCAGGUACACAUGUGCUGCAAAGGAUGUUAAAUGGAUUGAACAUGUCAUGUGGCUUUCUUAAGAUAUAUGUACAUCUCAAUAAAAGUUAUACUUGCUUCAAAA